rnacentral:rRNA from 1 species
AUUGAACGCUGGCGGAAUGCUUUACACAUGCAAGUCGAACGGCAGCACGGGGGCAACCCUGGUGGCGAGUGGCGAACGGGUGAGUAAUGUAUCGGAACGUGCCCAGUCGUGGGGGAUAACGUAGUGAAAAUUACGCUAAUACCGCAUACGAUCUAUGGAUGAAAGCGGGGGAUCGCAAGACCUCGCGCGAUUGGAGCGGCCGAUAUCAGGUUAGGUAGUUGGGAGGGUAAAGGCUCACCAAGCCGACGAUCUGUAGCUGGUCUGAGAGGACGACCAGCCACACUGGCACUGAGACACGGUCCAGACUCCUACGGGAGGCAGCAGUGGGGAAGUUUGGACAAUGGGCGCAAGCCUGAUCCAGCCAUUCCGCGUGCAGGAUGAAGGCCCUCGGGUUGUAAACUGCUUUUGUACGGAACGAAACGGCGAGCUCUAAUACAGUUUGCUAAUGACGGUACCGUAAGAAUAAGCACCGGCUAACUACGUGCCAGCCGCCGCCGUAA